UACGAAGGGACCAAGCGUUGUCCGGAAUCAUUGGGCGUAAAGAGCGUGUAGGCGGCUUGUUAAGUCUUGCGUGAAAUCUCGGGGCUCAACCCCGAGCGGUCGUGAGAAACUGGCAGGCUAGAGUGCGGGAGAGGAGAGUGGAAUUCCUGGUGUAGCGGUGAAAUGCGCAGAUAUCAGGAGGAACACCGGUGGCGAAGGCGGUUCUCUGGGCAUUACCUGACGCUGAGGAGCGAAAGUGUGGGGAGCGAACAGG
rnacentral:rRNA from 1 species